rnacentral:rRNA from 1 species
GACGGAAGGUGCAAGCGUUGCUCGGAAUCACUGGGCGUAAAGGGUGCGUAGGCGGCCGUGCAAGUCUGGCGUGAAAGCCCCGGGCUCAGCCCGGGAAGUGCGCUCGAAACUGCGCGGCUCGAGUGCCGGAGGGGAGAGUGGAAUUCCUGGUGUAGCGGUGAAAUGCGUAGAUAUCAGGAGGAACACCUAUUGCGAAGGCAGCUCGCUGGGACGUAACUGACGCUGAGACGCGAAAGCGUGGGGAGCAAACAGG